rnacentral:rRNA from 1 species
AUUGAACGCUGGCGGCAUGCCUUACACAUGCAAGUCGAGCGGCAGCGCGGGGGCAACCCUGGCGGCGAGCGGCGAACGGGUGGGUAAUACAUCGGAACGUACCCAGUAGUGGGGGAUAACCCCUCGAAAGAGAGGCUAAUACCGCAUACGACCUACGGGUGAAAGCGGGGGACCGCAAGGCCUCGCGCUAUUGGAGCGGCCGAUGUCGGAUUAGCUAGUUGGCGGGGUAAAGGCCCACCAAGGCGACGAUCCGUAGCUGGUCUGAGAGGACGACCAGCCACACUGGAACUGAGACACGGUCCAGACUCCUACGGGAGGCAGCAGUGGGGAAUUUUGGACAAUGGGCGCAAGCCUGAUCCAGCCAUGCCGCGUGAGUGAAGAAGGCCUUUGGGUUGUAAAGCUCUUUCGGCGGGGACGAAACGGUCCGUGCCAACACCACGGACUAAUGACGGUACCCGCAGAAGAAGCACCGGCUAACUACGUGCCAGCAGCCGCGGUAAUACGUAGGGUGC